GCCCUCUGUGGCUCAAAUGGAUAGAGCGUCUGCCCUGAGAGCAGAAGAUCCUGGGUUCGAGUCCCGGUUGGGGCA